UUGGCUCAGGAUGAACGCUGGCGGCGUGCUUAACACAUGCAAGUCGAACGGAGUCAUCAUUUUUGAAGCAAUUAGCUUGCUAAGAGUGGAAAUGUUGAUGACUUAGUGGCGGACGGGUGAGUAACGCGUGGGUAACCUGCCAUAUACAGGGGGAUAACACUUAGAAAUAGGUGCUAAUACCGCAUAAGCGCACAGUAUUGCAUGAGACAGUGUGAAAAACUACGGUGGUAUAUGAUGGACCCGCGUCUGAUUAGCUGGUUGGUGAGGUAACGGCCCACCAAGGCGACGAUCAGUAGCCGGCCUGAGAGGGUGGACGGCCACAUUGGGACUGAGACACGGCCCAAACUCCUACGGGAGGCAGCAGUGGGGAAUAUUGGACAAUGGGGGAAACCCUGAUCCAGCGACGCCGCGUGAGUGAAGAAGUAUUUCGGUAUGUAAAGCUCUAUCAGCAGGGAAGAAAAAAUGACGGUACCUGACUAAGAAGCCCCGGCUAACUACGUG
rnacentral:rRNA from 1 species